rnacentral:rRNA from 1 species
UACGAAGGGGGCUAGUGUUGUUCGGAAUUACUGGGCGUAAAGCGUAUGUAGGCGGAUCGUUAAGUCGGGGGUGAAAUCCCGAGGCUCAACCUCGGAACUGCCUUCGAUACUGGCGAUCUUCGAGUCCGGGAGAGGUGAGUGGAACUCCGAGUGUAGAGGUGAAAUUCGUAGAUAUUCGGAAGAACACCAGUGGCGAAGGCGGCUCACUGGCCCGGUACUGACGCUGAAAUACG